rnacentral:rRNA from 1 species
UACGGAGGGUGCAAGCGUUAUCCGGAUUCACUGGGUUUAAAGGGUGCGUAGGAGGGCAGGUAAGUCAGUGGUGAAAUCCCCGAGCUUAACUUGGGAACUGCCGUUGAUACUAUCUGUCUUGAAUGCUGUGGAGGUGAGCGGAAUAUGUCAUGUAGCGGUGAAAUGCUUAGAUAUGACAUAGAACACCAAUUGCGAAGGCAGCUCGCUACACAGUUAUUGACUCUGAGGCACGGAAGCGUGGGGAGCAAACAGG